UUGGCCAGAAUGGUUCAGCUUGGUUUCAUAGCUCGCAGAAGCUACUCUGUUCCUGCACCAUUGUCCUUAGUUCAUGUGGACACCAAUCAUAAGCUAAUCACAUUCAAUAUUGUGAUAUUUGGUGGGAUUGAUGGUUUCUCAAGGAAGAUCCUAUACCUUGAUGCUGCUGAAAACAACAAGGCAUCAACUGCCUUCUCAUUCUUUCUGGAGGGUGUUCACAAACAUGGGUGGCCUUCAAGGUAAGAACACUGUUAACAUGUGAUGUCUUUUUUUUUUUUGGAGUCAACAUCUUAACUACAUUUCACAAGUUCACAUG